CAUUAAGCUGAUGCUGUGUCCCAGAUGUGAUAAUGCGGAACAGUCACACAUCAAAAACAUUACAGCCAGACAGCAGCAACAAGUGUGUCACAGCUGCAGAGUGUUGCCAUGGGAUUUAACAGAACAACAUGGAUUAUUAUUUCAUCAUGUUUCUUCAUCUUUUUAGGCUCAUCUGUCUACAUUUCAGGCCGACCAGUGUCUUACAACAUUGGCAACAACAGAAACAUUUCCAUCAGUUGCAAUGAAGGGAGAAUAGGUGCGGAGAAUCAGUACAACGUUAAAGGUGAUACUGCAGAAAAUGUUUCUCUGGGUAACAUCAGCAACAUUCAUGUUUCUGGAACAAACAAAGGAUGCAUUGGAGGAAGGAAUGACUACACUGUGACAGGACAGAUUGCAGCCAAGUCCAAGAUUGGCAACGUCAGUAAUGUUACUGUUGGUAACAACUCGGGAUCAAUUGGUUCAGGGAACCGCAUUAACAUUAGCUGAGGAGGACUGACAACUGGUCAAAUUGUUGGCAACACUGCCAGCAAUUUGUAAUUUGCACACAGGGAUUGGUAAUAACACAGGGACCAUUUCUGGAGAGAAUAGAAUGGACAGCAACAAAUGUAAAAAAUGUACUAUCAAAUGAAAUCGGCCUCCAACUCUUCUAAAAACUAUGCACCAUUUGUUGAAUGUAGAAUUCAUGAUUUCAAAUCAACAGAAAGAGUCAGUCAUCCGAUGAAUGUAAAAGAAAUACAAGUGAAAAUAAAGUAGAGUACCUGCUCUAUGAGACCAUC